UACGGAGGGUGCAAGCGUUGCUCGGAAUCACUGGGCGUAAAGGGCGUGUAGGCGGUUUCGUAUGUCUGGCGUGAAAGCCCCGGGCUCAACCCGGGAAGUGCGUUGGAAACUGCGAAACUAGAGUCUCGGAGAGGAAGGUGGAAUUCCAGGUGUAGCGGUGAAAUGCGUAGAUAUCUGGAAGAACACCGGUGGCGAAGGCGGGUCUCUGGGCCGAAAUUGACGCUGAGGAGCGAAAGCGUGGGGAGCAAACAGG
rnacentral:rRNA from 1 species